GAUGAACGCUGGCGGCGUGCCUAACACAUGCAAGUCGAGCGAAGCACUCUACUCGAUUUCUUCGGGAUGAAGGUUUAGUGACUGAGCGGGCGACGGGUGAGUAACGCGUGGAUAACCUGCCUCAUACAGGGGGAAUAACGUUUGGAAACGAACGCUAAUACCGCAUAACGUGAGAAGAGGGCAUCCUCUUUUUACCAAAGAUUUAUCGCUGAGAGAUGGGCUCGCGGCCGAUUAGGUAGUUGGUGAGAUAACAGCCCACCAAGCCGACGAUCGGUAGCCGGACUGAGAGGUUGAUCGGCCACAUUGGGACUGAGACACGGCCCAG
rnacentral:rRNA from 1 species